GCUUUGGUGGUGUAGUGGUGCCAGCACACGUCACCGGUAUGGAUGAAACGCGGGUUCGAUUCCCGCCUAUGUCCUGGCA